rnacentral:rRNA from 1 species
UCCAGCGAACUUGGCAGAGAUGCCUUGGUGCCUUCGGGAACGCUGAGACAGGUGCUGCGAUGGCUGUCGUCAGCUCGUGUUGUGAAAUGUUGGGUUAAGUCCCGNAACGAGCGCAACCCUUAUCCUUUGUUGCCAGCGAUUCGGUCGGGAACUCAAAGGAGACUGCCGGUGAUAAACCGGAGGAAGGUGGGGAUGACGUCAAGUCAUCAUGGCCCUUACGAGUAGGGCUACACACGUGCUACAAUGGCGCAUACAAAGAGAAGCGACCUCGCGAGAGCAAGCGGACCUCAUAAAGUGCGUCGUAGUCCGGAUCGGAGUCUGCAACUCGACUCCGUGAAGUCGGAAUCGCUAGUAAUCGUGGAUCAGAAUGCCACGGUGAAUACGUUCCCGGGCCUUGUACACACCGCCCGUCACACCAUGGGAGUGGGUUGCAAAAGAAGUAGGUAGCUUAACCUUCGGGAGGGCGCUUACCACUUUGUGAUUCAUGACUGGGGUGAAGUCGUAACAAGGUAGGCGUAGCGAG